rnacentral:sRNA from 1 species
UGUAUCUGAAGUCUGACGAGGAUGAGAACCUCCGGGGGCAAGAGGUUCGACUCGAGCGAAGCGAGAGAACGUUGCGUCAGCAACGGCCCGCAGGGCGAGCCACGCAGUGGCGAGUCAUCCUCUAUCACCGACCU